GUAGUUGGAUUCACAUCAAUCCACAUGUGUUGGGGUGGGUUGGAGUGUAACUUAAACUAAAUUCUACCUCAAUCCACAUAUGUGGAUUGAGUUAAAUACGACA
rnacentral:pre_miRNA from 1 species